ensembl:lncRNA
CGUUGUAUAUUUGUUUUGGUAUCUCAAAAGCAAGCCCUACAGACUUCCUGAAAUUGUCUGUACCAAUACAGCACAGAAAAGGAGCAACCCCUGAGACAAGCUUGUGAUAAGCAGGAGUUUCCUGUGAUCCCCACGGGCUGUUCCGUUCUCGGAUAGGUAUUUCCCAGAGUGACCUACUUACAGGGAACUGCACAUGGUGCUGUGCUGACACACCAAUGACCCCCAGCAGGCCACGAAUAAUCCAGCGACCUUCGUGUGGUGAUGGAACACUUUCCCAAUGUAACUUCAUUGCAAGAGGAUACAGUGUCCAAACUCUUUAGCCAGGAAAGAUCAGUAUUUUGAUCAAAACCUGACAACCUGCUGGAGACCGUGACCAC